CUACACUGCGUGAGCGGACGAAAACAACAACACCUAAAAUGUGGAAUAUAGCAUAUAGUCGACAAGAGAAAUCUACGAAAAAACAAACAAAACUUUCAACAACGGAUCUCUUGGUUCUCGCAUCGAUGAAGAGCGCAGCGAAAUGCGAUACCUAGUGUGAAUUGCAGCCAUCGUGAAUCAUCGAGUUCUUGAACGCACAUUGCGCCCCUCGGCAUUCCGGGGGGCAUGCCUGUUUGAGCGUCGUUUCCAUCUUGCGCGUGCGCAGAGUUGGGGGAGCGGAGCGGACGACGUGUAAAGAGCGUCGGAGCUGCGACUCGCCUGAAAGGGAGCGAAGCUGGCCGAGCGAACUAGACUUUUUUUCAGGGACGCUUGGCGGCCGAGAGCGAGUGUUGCGAGACAACAAAAAGCUCGACCUCAAAUCAGGUAGGAAUACCCGCUGAACUUUAGCAUAUCAAUAAGCGGAGGAAAAGGAUCAUUUCUGUGAUUUUCUACUACACUGCGUGAGCGGAACGAAAACAACAACACCUAAAAUGUGGAAUAUAGCAUAUAGUCGACAAGAGAAAUCUACGAAAAAACAAACAAAACUUUCAACAACGGAUCUCUUGGUUCUCGCAUCGAUGAAGAGCGCAGCGAAAUGCGAUACCUAGUGUGAAUUGCAGCCAUCGUGAAUCAUCGAGUUCUUGAACGCCCAUUGCGCCCUCGGCAUUCGGGGGGGCAUGCCUGUUUGAGCGUCGUUUCAUC
rnacentral:rRNA from 1 species